rnacentral:rRNA from 1 species
UGGGGAAUAUUGCACAAUGGGGGAAACCCUGAUGCAGCGACGCCGCGUGGGGGAUGACGGCCUUCGGGUUGUAAACCUCUUUCAGUAGGGAAGAAGCCUUCGGGUGACGGUACCUGCAGAAGAAGUACCGGCUAACUACGUGCCAGCAGCCGCGGUAAUACGUAGGGUGCAAGCGUUGUCCGGAAUUAUUGGGCGUAAAGAGCUCGUAGGUGGUCUGUCACGUCUGCUGUGGAAACGCAAGGCUCAACCUUGCGCGUGCAGUGGGUACGGGCGGACUAGAGUGCAGUAGGGGAGUCUGGAAUUCCUGGUGUAGCGGUGAAAUGUGCAGAUAUCAGGAGGAACACCGGUGGCGAAGGCGGGACUCUGGGCUGUAACUGACGCUGAGGAGCGAAAGCAUGGGGAGCGAACA